rnacentral:lncRNA from 1 species
UUGGGAAUGAUCCCUCACGAGUGCAGAAUAUAGAUCCCCCACCCAAGAUUGCUAACAUUGGUAAAGAUGUCGAUACUGCAAUAGAAAUAAAGAAAAGAGAUAUACAAAAAUAUAAUCAAAUACGUGAAUCAGCCUAAGGCUUACCUUCAAUGGGCAUAUAAGUUUCACUAUGAAAGAAAGAACAAAUACAAGAGAUCACACCCUUUUAACUCUCAUAUAUCAAUCUCUCUCUCAACAAGAAGCAUAAAAAGUCCUCAUAAAAGGCUCUCAAAAGAUCCUCAAAAAGGCUCUCUAGCUGCUAUCAGCCCCUCUCCGUGCUCCACGGCCG